ensembl:lncRNA
UGUUAUUUUGCUAAAAGAGAACACCAGAGUCAUAUCAAUUCACACGCCGGCAGACUGUGAUUUUUCACAGCCUCCCCCAACAUAGCCUACAUGGACAGAAUACCUCUUUAAUGUGUUCCUACGAGAUAAAAUGCUUCCACAGGCGAUUAACCAUUCCACCCCACUCCCAUUCAUUUCACUUCAUCAGAUUACUUGAUUGCUUGCUAAAUGGACUGCCUCUCUCCUCCAGGAAAAUACACUGUAUGUAUUUCCUUUGGACAAAGUGACAGAGGGUUGAUUUAUUUUCCCUCGCAUACUGUGCUUUUAGGCAUUUCAUCAGUCUUAGUUCAGUUCAGUCAACUGAACUUCAGGUUUGAGCCGCGGGUUUAUAUAAUUCCAAGAGAUAUUUUAUAUGUAGGUCCACACAGUGGCCCUGAGCUGUUUUUGGAGUUUCAGGCUGUGAAUAGUGAAAUUUUUGAACUGUCUCUACUUUAUAAAGUAUAAAUGAAUUAAACAGGGAUUCGUACUUUUCUUCCAAUCCAAUAGUUGUUCUUCUACAUUGUGGUUCAAACCCCACGGCGACACAAACACGAAGCACAGGGUAAUGAAUACCACUCAUAUAUAUGACCAUGAAAUCCAAGACUGGAAGUAUGAGGAAGCAGCUGGUCGAGAGGCAACAAAAUCCAGCUCAAAAUAAAGCUCAUUAAUAAUGAGGUUCUGUCUGUUAUGUAAGUUAAAUCUGUAUAAAAAAACAAAAACAAAAAAAGGUAAGUUGCAGUUGUGUGUGCGAGUUAGUGAGCUUCAGAGGAUCUGGUGAGCAGAUUUUGUGAUCACUUAAAAGACCCAGGCCAGCUGUUUCCUCCUCCUCCUCCUCAAAAAAAAAAAAGUGUACUUAUUCCAAAAAUAUCAAACUAAUUCAGCAUGUAGCACACUCAAAGGAAAAUGGAUUAUCUCUCUCUGAGCCAGACCAUUAACGACCUAGGUGCAAGGCUAUUGAUAUAAUGUAACUCGUAGACUUGUGAAAUUAUGUGAAUACAGCGCUGCUCAGAAAAAGGCCGGACAAGAUCCCCCCGUUUAACGCUGUGCUCUCAUUGUGUUCCCGAGAGAUGAAAUAAGUCUUACGCCUUGACGUGCUCCUGAAUCCAAGUGCUAAAGACACUGACAUUGCUUUUCACAGUGUAUGAUUAAAUUGAAUUCUGCCUUCUCUUGAGGCGCUUUUUC